rnacentral:tRNA from 1 species
GUUAAGGUGGCAGAGCAGGUAAUUGUAUAAAGCUUAAGCCUUUACCCCCAGAGGUUCAAAUCCUCUUCUUAACA